GCCAUCUACUGAUACCAGAGGAAUAUUUUGUUUUCAUUUGGAAUCUGGAUUUUUUUGCAGCAUAAUUCUGAGAAACAGAAAGAUUAAAAAAAAAGCAAAUAGCCCACAGAAAGUGCUUAAAUAAAUAGUAAUAUGCAUUGGAAGACCUACUUCACAUUCAUCUUAUGCAAUUAGAGCUAUAACAUUUGGCAGUUCAACAAUCACUAAAGGGAAGGCUGUAUGCAAAUAGACUAUUCUCCAUCUCUGCAUCUAGCUCUUUCUGACGCUGUUUUGGAUUCCACUUUUUUAAUGAUAUGGUGCAGUGGGUAACUUAAAAUUAAUUACAAGGUUCUUUGCUAACAAGGGGAGUGGGGG